CCGAAGUUUCCCUCAGGA
rnacentral:snRNA from 1 species